CUUCCCGGCACCGCCCCCGGGGCUUCCCGCGCUCCCCGCGCACAGGCGCCCGAUGCAACGCCUGGCUGGCAGGAUCCCGCCCGCCGGCCUCCGCUGCCGGAGAGCGCGGGUGCGGGGCCGCCACGGGGAAGCGACCGCAGGGCGGGAAGGGAAGGCGGCGGUACCGGCAGCACCGGCAGCCGCGGGCAGCCCGAGAGACCGACCCACAGCGCCACCGCCCCCUGGAGGAGGUGGCUGCGCUCGGCCGCUCUCGGCAACACUCGGCUCCGCUCGGUAACACUCGGCCCCUACUCGGCUCCGCUCGGCAACACUCGGCUCCGCUCGGCCCCUACUCGGCUCCGCUCGGCCCCUACUCGGCUCCGCUCGGCCCCUACUCGGCCCCGCUCGGCCCCUACUCGGCCCCGCUCGGCCCCUACUCGGCCCCGCUCGGCUGCAAGGCUCGAAGGCGGCGGCGUGUGUGAACACAUAACAACAUCAGGAACAGAGGUCACGGGCGUUGAGAAACAAAUUUUGGGUGAAAAGCCACGUGUGUUCAUCGUGACCGUGCAGUUGCUAUUUGCUUGAUACAGACAGCAGAGUCACCCUUCGCCGUCCGCCUACUCCGAUGACAGUGGCUCACACUCCAUAACUGACAAGAGAAUGCAGGGCCUUAUGGAAAACUUGGUACCAAAAUAAGAGGGAGAAAUUCAAUAAAGGGAGAAAGAAAAAAAAUAAAGCAUUCAUAACAUAAAAGUGGGUUGGUAGAGGUAGAGCAGGUGGGGAAUCUCCAUUUGACAGCGACAUUUCGGUAUCUCUGAAGAGUUUGUAAGCGUAGAUGCAGUAGAAAUUGGAAUAAAACCAUUGACGGGUUUUCAGCGCAUUAACCAGAAUUAGGAGAAAAACAAACAAACAACAGUAUGGGGUUUCCACGUUUAUUUCUUUUAGUCCAGGGCUUAGACUUUAUAAUACACUCUAAUUUUUAAAACUUCCCGCCCGUUCCCCCCCCCCCAACCCCGACUUGGAGCAUGCGCACACAGCACAGGUGCCAGCGGCCGCCAGCAGGGGGCGGUGCGCGCAGGGUCCCUGUUGCCUUCAGCGACGGGUUGUUAGGGCGUGGUGCCGCCUGGGUCCAGCGGGGGGCGGUGCGCGUAGGGUCCGCGGUGCGGUUUGUGCGGGGCUGUCAUGAGGCGGUGGCGCCUGGGUCCGUCAGGGGCGGUGCGCGCAGGGUCCGCGGUGCGGUUUGCGCGGGGCUGUCGGGAGGCCGUGUCGCCUGGGUCCGUCAGGGGCGGUGCGCGCAGGGUCCGCGGUGCGGUUUGCGCGGGGCUGUCGGGAGGCCGUGUCGCCUGGGUCCGUCAGGGGCGGUGCGCGCAGGGUCCGCGGUGCGGUUUGCGCGGCGUUUCCACCAACCGCCAGCAGGAGGCGGUAGUGCGCUGGAGGGCUUGGGGACUUCAGGAGGCAAAAAGCGAGCGCGGUAGCAGCGGGGGGCGCCAAAAAGAGCCCGCGUCUCUCUGUGUUGCCCAGGCUACGCUGCAGUGGCUAUUCACAGGCGCGAUCCCGCUACUGACCGGCACGGGAGCUUUGACCUGCUCCGUCUCCGACCUGGGCCGGUUCACCCCUCCUUAGUCAACCUGGUGUCCCCCGGCUCCCCGGGACUCACCA